rnacentral:rRNA from 1 species
UACGAAGGGGGCGAGCGUUGUUCGGAAUCACUGGGCGUAAAGGGCGCGUAGGCGGCCCUCCUUGUCGCGUGUGAAAGCCCCGAGCUCAACUUGGGAAUUGCAGUGGAUACUGGCGAGCUGGAGUGCGGUAGAGGAAGGUGGAAUUCCCGGUGUAGCGGUGAAAUGCGUAGAGAUCGGGAGGAACACCAGUGGCGAAGGCGGCCUUCUGGACCAGCACUGACACUCAAGCACGAAAGCGUGGGGAGCAAACAGG